rnacentral:lncRNA from 1 species
GUAUCGCGCUGCCCCGCCCCACGCGAGCCCGGCGGCCAAUCAACGCUCGGGGGCGUUCUCAGACCUGUUUUUUCCCGCCCUGGGAGGCUGCUCUUAGGGCGACUGAAGGCUCCCAGCGACCCGGAAGUGAUUCUGAGAGGGUGGCCCUUGCGACGCCUGCGCCCCCAGUCCCCGGCACUCUUUUCCUAACUCCGCGGACUGCGGCGUCUGAGGGGAAAGUGUAGCUAGGUCUACCUGAAGCCGCACCAAUGUCCUCGGUGCUCUCCUACGAAAGCCUGGUGCACGCCGUGGCCGGAGCCGUGGUGAGGCGGGGUCUCAGCGCCCAGGCCGCAGCGGGGUGGCUGACUUCCCGGACCGUUCCCAGGAGAAGGCUGGGGGGAUGGGAAGAG